GGAGCCUGAGGCUUAAUUUGACUCAACACGGGAAGACUUACCAGGUCCGAACAUAAGCGUGUAAGACAGAUUGAUAGCUCUUUCUCUAAUCUAUGAGUGCCUGACCACUGCUGAACCACUUUCAUACUUGGGAUUGUGAACUGAAACUGUUUACAAGAACUUGGAAUUCCCAGUAAGUGUGAGUCACGUGAUCACUGUAA
rnacentral:rRNA from 1 species